GUGCUCACUUCAGCAGCAUAUAUACUAAAAUUGGAACGAUGUAGAGAAGAUUAGCAUGGGCCCUGCGAGCAAGGAUGACACACAAAUUUGGUGAAGUGUUCUCACAUUUU